UCCGUCCACUUGAACAAGUUUUGUAUCUAGUAUAUACAGAAUUGAUCGUUAUCCAUAUGUGAAACUCCAGAUGUUCUAUAUGUAGUUGAGGGAUACUCUUGGAAGGAUACUAAUGGGAUAUUCAUGUAGAAGGUUAACAAGGAUCAUGUGAGGAGUUAUUAUGACGUGUCGCAGAACCAUUGCCUUUGUUUUGUUGUCAAAGAAUCAAUUAAAAGAUCAGGAGGAUGGAAGUGCUUAUCUAGCUGAUAUUCUUUUUUGUACUAUUGAUCAAUUUCUCUAAUGUUAUUCAAUGUCUUUCUGGUUGUGUUAUAUAAUCAUUACCACUGUAUCUUAUAAUGCUCUAUGAACUACUUUCUUGAAUAAACCUUAUAUUAUAUGAAUGCAAGUGUUGUAUAUAUCCAUAUGCAAGCGAGUUAAUUCUAUUUGAGAUAUGAUAUUUGUUAUCAACUUUGAUGUUGUGAAUUAGUAGCUUGGUUGUAUUCCAUCUCCGGCAACGGAAGCACCAUGGCGAAGCUUCUCACGUGGGGCCGGAAGCUAACGAAAGGAGCGAAGUCCCUCUGCGCGAGAAACGGGUCCCUCUGUGCAGAAGUACAAGAAGCAGAAGCACAAAUCAUGGGAGAAGGUUCAAUUUCGUCAGAUGAACAGGUUCGUACUCUUCCCUUCAAUCCCCCACGGCUCUUUUGAAUAGUUAACCUACCCCUAUGCGAAUGACCUUCUACUUGUAGAGGUAUGGGUAUGGGUAUGGGUUUUCAUUUUUUAAUAUUAAGGUUUUCAUCCCAAGCUCUCUAUAAAUACUGCCAUUGUUAUCAUGUUUUUGCUAUUUGUUAUGGCUGGAUCAUUGAAUCCCCUGCGCUCCAUAUGCAUUGGGAGAUAUCCUGCAAGAUAUCAUACUUGGAGAGUCAAGGUUCGCAUUCUUUUCUUCGUAUUUGGUAGAUGUUUCCAGUUGGUGAACCCUCAAAACCAUAUGUUGUGCAUCUUGUGCUUAUUGAUGGAGAAGUUAUAUACCAGUGCUGUUAUUUCUUUUUUGUUAGUCAUCUUAUAGUUUCUACAUGUAUAUAAUAUCAAUUAUCCUUUUUGUACUCAAGGUCCUCUAUUCAAGUUCUCUAUAAAUACUGGCAUGGUUUAUCUGUUUUACCCAUCCUUUUUCUGUGUUUGUUCCUUUGGUAGUAGUAUCUAAGCUCAACACACCCCUCCUUUAUCCUUUUUGAUUUCGUGUGAUUGAUGAACUAUGAACAUCUGAAAAUACGCCCCCCUCAUCCGGCAUACAUGAAAAUAUGCUUGAAAAUUGUUAACCUCGGGUUGGAUGAUAUUUGCAAUAGACGAGAAUAUCUGAAAAUUGUUAACCUCGGGUUGAAUGAUAUUUGUUGGUCGAGAUAUAUGCUUGAAUUUAGAGUUGAUUUGGUUUUUGUUACCUAUGAACAUAAUAUUGGAGGUGGCUUAAUCUUUUAUUUGUAGGCUAUACUGGAGGAGCUAAGAACGGAUUUGGACAGGGCUAGGAAAGGAAAGCCCCCUUCAAAGAGUCCAGAUGGAAAUUUAUGAUCUUCAUUUUUAUUGUUUCAGUUUUAAUGUUUUCUGAUCAAGUGGGUAAUGUUGACUGUUUGCUAAUUUAAGUAGAUUAAAAAUGAAAAUAUUUUACUUAGCGUUGUUUAUAAUCUCAAAUUUUGAAUUUUCUUAUAGAAUGGUUGGCCAUGUAUUUUAGUAUCGAGCUCAAUUUUGAACUAAGAAGCAUAAUUUCUUCCUCGGAUUUUUUUCUCCACUAUGCAUUAUCUUAACAAACAGUUUGCUGAACUGAAGCUUUUCCUGUGAACAUUAAACCCUAAACCCUGAUUAUGUGGAUCCACUUUGCAUUAUCUAACUCACUGUUUCUUAUGUUUUCUUUUAUGUUUUUUCAUUUCCCCCUUCAUUUAGUAUGGUUUUUCUUCUUACUUAUCUCCCAUUAUGUAUGAUUAUUUUCCCUUAUUUAUCUCUCAUGUGUGACUGGUUGGUGAGGUGAUCUGGUAUUGAUUGUGGAGUGUUUGUGGCAUGUGAGGCGCUAGAGCUGCUGGUGUGUUAUGUUUUUGCUAUGGCGGAUGAUCCCUGUCGUGAGCUUUUGAAUGUUGCUGGAUCCUCCUUCAUACUAUAGAGGGUUCAAUGGGAUGGAUCAACAACUGGUGAGCACCAAGCAGAGUUUCAAUUUGGUAAAUUGAACCAGUAGUAAGUAGUAACUCAUUUCUAUGGUCAUCCACCUCCAUUUUUAAGGCCCAAGUUUCCAAGGCAACCAGGAAUGCCAGGUAACAUGACUCAUUCCUUGAUUAUUUCAGCUUUCAUUGUAAGAUUUCUUACUUGGAUUUAUUUUGUUCUUGUGAAUAAAUCGCUCAUAUCUAUUUCACUUUAACACAAAUAUCAUAUGUGAAGAAUUCAAUUCAAUACUGGUUAUGUCACUCUAGGAAUCAUGUUUGCUUCAACCCAAUGGACAAAACUUACUUUUGGUACUGUUAGAUUCUCAAUGCAUGACUAACUUGAAAACGUACUUUGUGCUCUGAUAUGACUGGGAUAAAGAUUUUUUUUAGGGAGAAUCAUACAGAACCUCAGGGUAAAGGAAAUCAAUGACUUUGUGAUUAAUGAGUUAUAUUUGAUAACUUCACCCUCUUUUGAUUAAAACUUCUUAAUAUGUGAAAUUUAGUUAUAGAAUAUGCACAAGCAUUGAUUCUAAUCUAAAAAAAAGUGUUGUAGGAUUGAAGAUGGAAGAAAAUGCAAAGCUUCGAGAAGGAAAUGCAAAUUUGAAGUUCCUGUGUGCCGGGCACGCCUCAGAGGCUGCCGGGCGCUCCUGGUGGUCAAGGAAACUUCACCCUUGGCCCUUUUAUUUUUUGCCUUUCUUACUCAAUGACUUUUUGAUCAGCUUUACCAAGAAGUUUAUAGUAAUACUAAAGUUUCAUAAUCAAAUAUAUUUCAACCUUGCAGAAAGUCUGUUCUAACCUAAUUUAGUUUCGUCUCUAAUACUGCCUUAUAAAAAUAUGAUAUUUCUUUAAGAUGUAUUUAUCUCUCUUUGCAUUGGUUCUCUGUCAUGUUUCUUUUGCAGUUGUUAGAUGAGAGAAGAUCAUCAUUGUCUUAUGGUUUAUUCAUCUACUUAUCGGUAUGGUAUGCUACAUGGUUGCCUCACCAACCACCAUAUUUAAUUAUGUGUGUGUGCACGUGUAUAAGUGGUAGGAACCAUAUAAAAAGGGGAUUCCUGAUACAUAGUAGUCCAUUUAAUUUUGUGGUUCAUUUGGGGUUUUUGAAUUUUAUAUUGUCCAAGUAAAAAUCUUCCCUUGGCCUUAACAUUGCGGGUUGAAAUUUGGCUUCUGGGGUUGGUUCGAUAUGUUGAAAUACUGAAGUGGGUCUUUACGAUGUUAGUGAGUCUCUCAUUUUUUGAUUUUAGUGGGAACUCUUUUUUGUUUUCAAGAGGAAAAUAUUUUAGUGGUAACUCUAUUUAUGAGUCUCUCAUUAUUUGUGUGAUUCUUUCAACAGUUUUUGUUAUGUUAAUGCUUAUCUGACUUUAUGUUCCUUUCUUUACUGAUCUGUGGUAUGCGCAAUUGACUACCUAUGCUAAGGGUUGCUUUUUUUUAUUAGCAGAGGUGAUUGGGUACAAAAGAUAACGAGGGUUACCUGUGAUUUUGGCGAUACAAUGUAGAAAGAGGCAGUGUCUUCUAAAAUCUCACUCCAGAAUUCUUUCCCUAUUCACGUUCCCUGAUGAAAGUCCAAGCCUCUCUUUCAAUCUGAAUAUAUGCAUUUAAGAUGAUAAUAGAGGUAUUGCUUUAGGUGGAGACAGUAUCCUAGAGUUAGUGGAUUAGUUUUAACAUACAAGAAUUGUGAUUCAGUGGCUAAAAACUAGAAGUAUGAGGCGAAAAUGUCAAUGAUAUAUCCAUAUGUGCAUGUGAGCCUCACUUAGAACUCGAGUUCUAUCUCUCAAGAGUUGAGAUUUACGCGAUAUCAAUUCAAAGAGUGGGUUUA